CACCCAAGGCCGUACUUCAAGAGUGUGCUGUGGUGGGGUGGUGUCCUGCUGAUGGCCGUGGGAGAGAUGGGGAACUUUGCAGCCUAUGGAUUUGCUCCCAUUACUCUGAUUGCUCCGUUAGGCUGUGUGUCUGUUACAGGUAGUGCCAUUAUUUCUGUUACAUUUCUGAAAGACAAUUUGAGAGCCUCAGACUUACUAGGUACGACACUGGCAUUUGCAGGAACAUAUCUACUGGUGAACUUUGCUCCAAAUAUAACUCAGGCAAUCUCAGCAAGAACAGUACAGUAUUACCUUGUCGGAUGGCAGUUCCUGAUCUAUGUGACUUACAUUAAAUGGAAGCCUCACAGAGACAAGGCUCAGGAGCUUUUCCUCUGAUCUGGU
rnacentral:sRNA from 1 species